AAGAACAAACAACAACAGAACAAGGCAUCUGAAGACGAUGCCUCCUCGGAUCAUACGAUCAAUGGGGGAAAUGCUCAUCACACCGCUCUCCAAAAUGGCGCGCCGAACAUUGAUGACGGCAAUGCUAGUUCGAACGCCCACCGUGGCGACAAUGGAUUCCACGAGGUAUUUGCGUUGAUUGAUCUAUCUCCUAUCUUAAAAUUUCUGAAUCCACUGCUUCUUUCAUUUCGUGUAUGGAUUUUUGUUGUGUUAGAAUCGUAGUACACAUUAAGUAUAUACAAUGGUGAAUCGAUCUCUAGCUUCUAGUAACGUUGAGCUGAUUGUAACCCCAGGCUUAGCAAUUGUCAGUAUGUUUGGUUUUUUUUGGCGACUUUGUAGACUAGUUUUAUUUCUCAUAUGUAAUUUGAGUUCCUCCAUUUCAAAAUUCUAUCAUGCAGUCCGUCUCAACUGCAGUCCAGAAGCAGCAGUUGUUGCAACUGCAAAGAGAGGUGAUCCCAUCUUGUUAUUCACUCAGACACUCUCUUACCAUGCCACCAUUCACAUUUAUAUUACUUGUGAUGAAGUGUUAAUUGUACUAAAAAAUAGGAGUCCCAGUUGCUCAGGGUUGAUACCUGUGAAUGAUUAAUUACCUCGUGUUUCUAUACAGGGUGACAUGAUAGAGGAAAUCAGCCGAUUACUCAAGGAAAAUGAAUCGCACAUACAGAAAGAGGUGUGAACAUGUGCUAUUAUGCACAAAUUUCCAUGAUUUCCUCCCAACAUGAAAGCAGGUUCUGAAAACAUAUCUGGGUUAACUGCCACUUUGCAGGCGGACCUAGAGGAGAAGAUCAAAGAGUUAAAAGAUCGAAAUGAUUCACAUGUACAGAUGCAGGUAAGCUGAUGUGAAAAAAGCUGGCCGAAUAGAAUAAAUGUGAUUUAAACUGAUUAUCGGAAAUCACUUCAUUUUCUUACUCUCCUUUCAUCUGUUUUUGCCUUUGUGAUUGUAUCUUUGGUCUUUUGACACAUUGCUUUAACAGGCUUCCCUAGAAGAUGCAAUCAAAGCAUUGAUAAGUGCAAAUGAC
rnacentral:lncRNA from 1 species